rnacentral:rRNA from 1 species
AGUUUGAUCCUGGCUCAGGGGGAACGCUGGCGGCGUGCUUAACACAUGCAAGUCAAGGAGAAAAGACUUCUUCGGAGGUCUGAGUAAACUGGCGAACGGGUGAGUAACACGUAGAUAACCUGCCCUCAAGACUGGGAUAACACUGCUAACGCGGUGCUAAUACCGGAUGACGCAACAAGGCCGCAUGGUCGAGUUGUUAAAGUUGGCUUUGGCUAACACUUGAGGAUGGAUCUGCGCCCCAUUAGCUAGUUGGUGAGGUAGUGGCUCACCAAGGCAACGAUGGGUAGCCGGCCUGAGAGGGUGAUCGGCCACACUGGGACUGAGAUACGGCCCAGACUCCUACGGGAGGCAGCAGUGAGGAAUAUUGCGCAAUGGCAGAAAUACUGACGCAGCAACGCCGCGCGAGGGAUGAAGCAUCUAGGUGUGUAAACCUCUGUUAGGAGGGACGAAACCGCUUGUAUCGAACAGGUACAGGCCUUGACGGUACCUCCAGAGAAAGCCCCGGCUAACUCCGUGCCAGCAGCCGCGGUAACACGGGGGGGGCAAGCGUUGUCCGGAAUUAUUGGGCGUAAAGGGCGCGCAGGCGGGAUAAUCAGUCUGGGGUGAAAACUUGCAACUUAACUGCGAGCUUGCCCUGGAUACUGUUAUUCUUGAGUUCGGAAGAGGGAAGUGGAAUUCCUGGUGUAGCGGUGAAAUGCGUAGAUAUCAGGAAGAACACCGGUGGCGAAGGCGGCUUCCUGGUCCGAUACUGACGCUGAGGCGCGAAAGCGUGGGGAGCAAACAGGAUUAGAUACCCUGGUAGUCCACGCUGUAAACGAUGGGUACUAGGUGUUGGCUCGCUUGUGGGUCAGCGCCGCAGCUAACGCAUUAAGUACCCCGCCUGGGGAGUACGAACGCAAGUUUGAAACUCAAAGGAAUUGACGGGGGCCCGCACAAGCGGUGGAGCAUGUGGUUUAAUUCGAUGCAACGCGAAGAACCUUACCUGGGCUUGAACUGCAGUUGAUCGCUCCUGAAAGGGAGCUUUCCUUCGGGACAGCUGUAGGGGUGCUG